rnacentral:rRNA from 1 species
UACGGAGGGUGCAAGCGUUAUCCGGAUUCACUGGGGUUAAAGGGUGCGUAGGCGGAUAUGUAAGUCCGUGGUGAAAUCUCUGGGCUUAACCCGGAAACUGCCAUGGAUACUAUGUGUCUUGAAUGUUGUUGAGGUGAGCGGAAUAUGUCAUGUAGCGGUGAAAUGCUUAGAUAUGACAUAGAACACCAAUUGCGAAGGCAGCUCACUAAGCAAAUAUUGACGCUGAGGCACGAAAGCGUGGGGAUCAAACAGG